GACGAACGCUGGCGGCGUGCUUAACACAUGCAAGUCGAACGUGAUUUUUGUGGAAAGCCCUUCGGGGACGGAAGCGAAAUGAAAGUGGCGAACGGGUGAGUAACACGUGAGCAACCUACCUUACACAGGGGGAUAGCCGUUGGAAACGACGAUUAAUACCGCAUGAGACCACAAAACCACAUGGCUUAGGGGUAAAAGAUUUAUCGGUGUAAGAUGGGCUCGCGUCUGAUUAGCUAGUUGGAAGGGUAAAGGCCUACCAAGGCAACGAUCAGUAGCCGGUCUGAGAGGAUGAACGGCCACAUUGGAACUGAGACACGGUCCAAACUCCUACGGGAGGCAGCAGUGGGGAAUAUUGCACAAUGGGGGGAACCCUGAUGCAGCGACGCCGCGUGAGCGAAGAAGGUUUUCGAAUCGUAAAG
rnacentral:rRNA from 1 species